AGUAACGGCGAGUGAAGCGGCAACAGCUCAAAUUUGAAAUCUGGCCCUCUCAGGGUCCGAGUUGUAAUUUGGAGAGGAUACUUCGGGUGUGGCCCCGGUCUAAGUUCCUUGGAACAGGACGUCACAGAGGGUGAGAAUCCCGUACGUGCCCGGUGGCCGCCCCCGUGUGAAGCUCCUUCGACGAGUCGAGUUGUUUGGGA
rnacentral:rRNA from 1 species